GGCGCACGGGUUGCGUAACACGUUGGGUAAUCUGCCUCAGGGUCAGGGAUAACUCUCCGAAAGGUGAGCUAAUACCUGGUAAGCCUACGGCGUCUUCGGACGCAGUGGGAAAAGUGGACCUCUAUUUAUAAGUUCACGCCCCGAGAUGAGCUCGCGGCCCAUCAGCUAGUUGGCGGGGUAACGGCCCACCAAGGCAACGACGGGUAGCUGGUCUGAGAGGACGAUCAGCCACACUGGAACUGAGACACGGUCCAGACUCCUACGGGAGGCAGCAGUGGGGAAUUUUCCACAAUGGGCGAAAGCCUGAUGGAGCAACGCCGCGUGUGUGAUGAAGGUCUUUGGAUCGU
rnacentral:rRNA from 1 species